UGGGGAAUAUUGCACAAUGGGCGCAAGCCUGAUGCAGCCAUGCCGCGUGUGUGAAGAAGGCCUUCGGGUUGUAAAGCACUUUCAGCGAGGAGGAAGGUGGUGAGCUUAAUACGCUCAUCAAUUGACGUUACUCGCAGAAGAAGCACCGGCUAACUCCGUGCCAGCAGCCGCGGUAAUACGGAGGGUGCAAGCGUUAAUCGGAAUUACUGGGCGUAAAGCGCACGCAGGCGGUUUGUUAAGUCAGAUGUGAGAUCCCCGGGCUCAACCUGGGAACUGCAUUUGAAACUGGCAAGCUAGAGUCUCGUAGAGGGGGGUAGAAUUCCAGGUGUAGCGGUGAAAUGCGUAGAGAUCUGGAGGAAUACCGGUGGCGAAGGCGGCCCCCUGGACGAAGACUGACGCUCAGGUGCGAAAGCGUGGGGAGCAAAACAGGAUUAGAGUACCCUGGUAGUCCACGCUGUAAACGAUGUCGAUUGGAGGUUGUGCCCUUGAGGCGUGGCUUCCGGAGCUAACGCGUUAAAUCGACCGCCUGGGGAGUACGGCCGCAAGGUUAAAACUCAAAGGAAUUGACGGGGUCAUAGCUGUUUCCUG
rnacentral:rRNA from 1 species